rnacentral:rRNA from 1 species
UAUAUUCUUUAAAAUUAAAAAAUUUGGCAGUAUUUUAUUCAAUUCAGAGGAACCUGUCCUGUAAUUGAUAAUCCACGAUUAAAUAAAUUUAUUUUUUUAGCUUGUAUAUCGUUGUUUAUGAAUUUCUUUACAAGGAAAAUUUUCUUUUAUUUUUAUUAAAACAAAUUUCAGAUCAAGGUGCAGCUUAUAAAUAAAUAGAGAUGGGUUACAAUAAAUAUAUUUUUGUUUAUUUAAUUUUAAUAUUAAAUUUAAAUUGGAUUUGAAAGUAAUUAUAAAUAUAUUUUUAUAAUGAUUUUGUUCUAAAAUAUGUACAUAUUGCCCGUCGCUCUCGAUUAAUUUGAGAUAAGUCGUAACAAAGUAGAUGUACUGGAAAGUGUAUCUAGAAUACAAAUUAAAGCUUUAGGAAGCUUUUUAUUUACAUUAAAAAGAUUACUGUUCAAUUCAGUAUAAUUUGAUUAAAUUUAUUUAUUUAAACUUAAAUUUUAGAAAAAUCUUUAUUUUAUUAUUUAAAAAGAAAAAUUUUAUUUAAUUAUAGUUAAUUAGUAAAGUGAUUGAAAAUACAUUUAUAAAAUAAAAAGAAAAAUUUAUUUUUUGUCCCUUGUGCAUCAGGGUUGAUUAAUUUUAAGUUAAUUAUUUAUUUUUCUCGAAUCUAAAAGAGUUAAUUAGUUAUUUAUUUAAUUGUAUAAAAAAUUUUUAUAAUAAUUAAUUUGAAGUGAAAUGCUAUUCGAUUUUAGUGAUAUCUAGUUUUUUAAGAAAAGAAUUUAAUUCUAAUAUUAUUUUUUAAAUUUUAUUUAUUAAUUUUUAAGUUUUAAUAUUAAAUAUUCAAUGGGAUAAGCUUUUGAUUAGAAAUUUAUAAUAAAAAUAUUAUUUUAUAUUUUGUAUAAUUUUAAUUGUUAAUCAUUUAUAAUUUAAUAGUUAUGUAUAAAAAUUUAAGAUUUAUUUUUAAUUUAAAUUUUAUAUUAAAAUUAAUUAUUUAAUUCUAAUAUUAUUUGUAAUUAUGAUUAAAUUAGUAAUACAAUUAUUUAUUUUGUUAAUAUUAUUUUAGGUUAAGUAAAGGAAUUCGGCAAUAUAAUUUUUCGCCUGUUUAUUAAAAACAUGUCCUUUUUAUAUUAGAUUAAGGUCUAAUCUGCUCAAUGAGAAUUUAAAUAGCCGCAGUAUUUUGACUGUGCAAAGGUAGCGUGAUAAUUAGUUUUUUAAUUGAAAACUUGUAUGAAUGAUUUGACGAGAAAAUUUCUGUCUCUAUUUAAUUUUUUAUGAAUUUAAUUUUUAAGUUAAAAAGCUUAAAUAACUAUAAAAGACGAGAAGACCCCAUAGAGUUUUAUUUUUUCUUUUUAUUUAGAAUUAUUUUAAUUUGAGAAAAAUUAGUUGGGGUGACUAAAAAAUUUAAUUAACUUUUUUAAUUUAAAUCAUUGAUUUAUGAAUAAAAAAUCUAUUUUUCUAAUUUUAAAUGAAGUUACCUUGGGGAUAACAGCGUA